rnacentral:rRNA from 1 species
UACAGAGGGGGCAAGCGUUAUUCGGAAUUAUUGGGCGUAAAGGGCGCGUAGGCGGCUUGGCAAGUGGAAGGUGAAAUCCCUCGGCUCAACUGAGGAACUGCCCUCCAAACUGCUUUGCUUGAGGCCGGGAGAAGCGAGUGGAAUUCCCAGUGUAGCGGUGAAAUGCGUAGAUAUUGGGAGGAACACCAGUGGCGAAGGCGGCUCGCUGGACCGGUUCUGACGCUGAUGCGCGAAAGCGUGGGGAGCAAACGGG